GGCCCUGGGGGAACUUGACUGUGCGGCGGGCCUGGAGGUCCCAGCGGAGGCGGGGCCUUUUCACUGCCGUUCGCCUGGUCCCUCUGGCAGCUGCUCCACCUGGGCUUCCUGGGAUGCAGGCAGCUGGUGAGAGGAUGCUGACAGCUGGAAAAGGGCGCUAGUGACUCUUGUGAGCGUUGUCAUGGACACAGAUGCUUUGAGGGUCCCCUUGGGUCGUGUAUUUGAAGGCUGUCUACAUUGCACUCAAGAGCCUCCCACCGUAGCCUCCUGAGUAGCUGGGUGGAUAGGGGUGCACCACCACACCUAUUCUGUUUAACAGCUGCAGAGUCAUCAUUGUAAGCGCGCACCAAAGUUGAUGUAACCUGUCCCCCGCUGAUGAACAUUUAACUUCCAUUCACUUACUGAAAAUCACUUGGCUGUUUCCAGUUUUU